rnacentral:rRNA from 1 species
GACGAACGCUGGCGGCGUGCUUAACACAUGCAAGUCGAACGGAAAGGCCCUGCUCUUGUGGGGUGCUCGAGUGGCGAACGGGUGAGUAACACGUGAGUAACCUGCCCUUGACUUUGGGAUAACUUCAGGAAACUGGGGCUAAUACCGGAUAGGAGCUCCUGCUGCAUGGUGGGGGUUGGAAAGUUUCGGCGGUUGGGGCUGGACUCGCGGCUUAUCAGCUUGUUGGUGGGGUAGUGGCUUACCAAGGCUUUGACGGGUAGCCGGCCUGAGAGGGUGACCGGCGACAAUGGGCCUGAGGUACGGCCCAGACUCGUACGGGAGGCAGCGGUGGGGAAUAUUGCGCAAUGGGCGGAAGCCUGAUGCGGCAACGCCGCGUGCGGGAUAACGGCCUACGGGCUGUAAACCGCUGUCGCAUGUGACGAAGCGUGAGUGACGGUAAUGGGUAAAGAAGCACCGGCUAACUACGUG